UACGUAGGUGGCAAGCGUUGUCCGGAAUUAUUGGGCGUAAAGCGCGCGCAGGCGGUUUCUUAAGUCUGAUGUGAAAGCCCACGGCUCAACCGUGGAGGGUCAUUGGAAACUGGGGAACUUGAGUGCAGAAGAGGAGAGCGGAAUUCCACGUGUAGCGGUGAAAUGCGUAGAUAUGUGGAGGAACACCAGUGGCGAAGGCGGCUCUCUGGUCUGUAACUGACGCUGAGGCGCGAAAGCGUGGGGAGCAAACAGGAUUAGAAACCCCCGUAGUCC
rnacentral:rRNA from 1 species